CUGCUCACUUUGGCAGCACAUAUCCUAAAACUGGAACGAUAGAGAAGAUGGUCAUGACCCUUGUGCAAGGGUGAGACACAUUACUUUGAAAUAAAUAAAUGUAAA